UUUAAAUGCAACCAUAAGUUUUCGUGCCCAACUUUGAUCAUCUAUCUUAUUUGAAAAAAAAUUAUAAUUAGUAUUUUUAUUGUUAUGAGAUGAUAAAACAUGAAUAAUACUUUACUCGUGACUUAUGUUUUUAAUUUUUUUUAAAAAAAAU
rnacentral:pre_miRNA from 1 species